ensembl:snRNA U2 U2 spliceosomal RNA
AUUGCUUCUAGGCCUUUUGGCUAAGAUCAAGUGUAGUAUCUGUUCUUAUCAGUUUAAAAAAUACUAGACACUAUUCUGCGACAAAAGUAAAAUAAUUCCACCACUU